rnacentral:rRNA from 1 species
AACGUAGACGGUUGGAUAAGUCGGAAAUGUGAAAGCCCCGGGCUCAACCUGGGAAUUGCAUUCGAGACUGUUCAGCUAGGGUGCGGAAGAGGGAAGCGGAAUUUCCGGUGUAGCGGUGAAAUGCGUAGAUAUCGGAAGGAACACCAGUGGCGAAAGCGGCCUCCUGGUCCAGCACCGACGUUCAGGUUCGAAAGCAUGGGGAGCAAACAGGAUUAGAUACCCUGGUAGUCCAUGCCAUAAACGAUGAGGACUAGACGUUGAGAGGGUAAGCCUCGCAGUGUCGUAGCUAACGCGCUAAGUCCUCCGCCUGGGGAGUACGGCCGCAAGGUUGAA